AACGAACGCUGGCGGCAGGCCUAACACAUGCAAGUCGAGCGCACCCUUCGGGGUGAGCGGCGGACGGGUGAGUAACGCGUGGGAACGUGCCCUUCUCUGCGGAAUAGCCUCGGGAAACUGAGAGUAAUACCGCAUACGCCCUUUGGGGGAAAGAUUUAUCGGAGAAGGAUCGGCCCGCGUUGGAUUAGGUAGUUGGUGGGGUAAUGGCCCACCAAGCCGACGAUCCAUAGCUGGUUUGAGAGGAUGAUCAGCCACACUGGGACUGAGACACGGCCCAGACUCCUACGGGAAGCAGCAGUGGGGAAUCUUAGACAAGGGGGGCAACCCUGAUCUAGCCAUGCCGCGUGAGUGAUGAAGGCCUUAGGGUUGUAAAGCUCUUUCAGCUGGGAAGAUAAUGACGGUACCAGCAGAAGAAGCCCCGGCUAACUCCGUG
rnacentral:rRNA from 1 species